UACGUAGGGGGCAAGCGUUGUCCGGAAUCAUUGGGCGUAAAGAGCGUGUAGGCGGCCCGGUAAGUCCGCUGUGAAAGUCCAGGGCUCAACCCUGGAAUGCCGGUGGAAACUGUCGAGCUAGAGUCCGGAAGAGGAGAGUGGAAUUCCCGGUGUAGCGGUGAAAUGCGCAGAUAUCGGGAAGAACACCCGUGGCGAAGGCGGCUCUCUGGGACGGUACUGACGCUGAGACGCGAAAGCGUGGGGAGCGAACAGG
rnacentral:rRNA from 1 species